GAGAAAUUUGUGGAAUUUCAAAGAAUAAAGCAAUCAAAGGUGGUGAGCCCUCUGAUAAAGGUAAAGACAUCGUACUCUAGGACCAAGAAUAGGAGUACUUCAAACUCCCGCUAUUGCUCAGGAUAGUCCGUAGAUAGUUGAUUUCGUCGAAGAUCUACUUUUGGAUUUACAUCCUUAGAAAUCGAAGGUCUACUUUAUUAUACAUAUUUGUUUAUUUUGGGGGCCCACAUGUCAUUGUAGAA
rnacentral:sRNA from 10 species